AAAUAGAUACCCGGGUAGUCCACGCCGUAAACGAUGAGUGCUAAGUGUUAGGGGGUUUCCGCCCCUUAGUGCUGCAGCUAACGCAUUAAGCACUCCGCCUGGGGAGUACGGCCGCAAGGCUGAAACUCAAAGGAAUUGACGGGGGCCCGCACAAGCGGUGGAGCAUGUGGUUUAAUUCGAAGCAACGCGAAGAACCUUACCAGGUCUUGACAUCUCCUGACCGCCCUGGAGACAGGGUCUUCCCUUCGGGGACAGGAUGACAGGUGGUGCAUGGUUGUCGUCAGCUCGUGUCGUGAGAUGUUGGGUUAAGUCCCGCAACGAGCGCAACCCUUGUCCUUAGUUGCCAGCAUUCAGUUGGGCACUCUAAGGAGACUGCCGGCUAAAAGUCGGAGGAAGGUGGGGAUGACGUCAAAUCAUCAUGCCCCUUAUGACCUGGGCUACACACGUGCUACAAUGGGCGGUACAGAGGGUCGCGAACCCGCGAGGGGAGCCAAUCCCAAAAAACCGCUCUCAGUUCGGAUUGCAGGCUGCAACUCG
rnacentral:rRNA from 1 species